AUCUGGGGCCAUACCACAGCCGAAUCACCGCAUCCCGUUCGAUCUGCGCAGUUAAAUGCUGUAGGGCCGAGUCAGUAGUGCGGUGGGGGACCACGCGCGAAUACUCUGGUGCCCCAGGU
rnacentral:rRNA from 15 species